rnacentral:rRNA from 1 species
UGGAUCCAGACUUUGAUUAUGGCUCAGGAUGAACGCUAGCUACAGGCUUAACACAUGCAAGUCGAGGGGAAACGACAUCGAAAGCUUGCUUUUGAUGGGCGUCGACCGGCGCACGGGUGAGUAACGCGUAUCCAACCUGCCCACCACUUGGGGAUAACCUUGCGAAAGUAAGACUAAUACCCAAUGAUAUCUCUAGAAGACAUCUGAAGGAGAUUAAAGAUUCAUCGGUGAUGGAUGGGGAUGCGUCUGAUUAGCCUGUUGGCGGGGUAACGGCCCACCAAGGCAACGAUCAGUAGGGGUUCUGAGAGGAAGGUCCCCCACAUUGGAACUGAGACACGGUCCAAACUCCUACGGGAGGCAGCAGUGAGGAAUAUUGGUCAAUGGACGAGAGUCUGAACCAGCCAAGUAGCGUGCAGGAUGACGGCCCUAUGGGUUGUAAACUGCUUUUAUAAGGGAAUAAAGUGAGUCUCGUGAGACUUUUUGCAUGUACCUUAUGAAUAAGGACCGGCUAAUUCCGUGCCAGCAGCCGCGGUAAUACGGAAGGUCCGGGCGUUAUCCGGAUUUAUUGGGUUUAAAGGGAGCGUAGGCCGGAGAUUAAGCGUGUUGUGAAAUGUAGACGCUCAACGUCUGCACUGCAGCGCGAACUGGUUUCCUUGAGUACGCACAAAGUGGGCGGAAUUCGUGGUGUAGCGGUGAAAUGCUUAGAUAUCACGAAGAACUCCGAUUGCGAAGGCAGCUCACUGGAGCGCAACUGACGCUGAAGCUCGAAAGUGCGGGUAUCGAACAGGAUUAGAUACCCUGGUAGUCCGCACGGUAAACGAUGGAUGCCCGCUGUUGGUCUGAAUAGGUCAGCGGCCAAGCGAAAGCAUUAAGCAUCCCACCUGGGGAGUACGCCGGCAACGGUGCAACUCAAAUGAAUUGACGGA